CUGGAUGCUCCGAGGAUGCCAAGGUUACAGUGCACAGGGACGACUCUGCCACUGGCAAAGCAGCAGCAGCAGCAGCUGAGCUCAGGCACUGAAGGAUCAUCACCUGUGGGAGAAUGCUACCUGGAACAAAGAUAAACCCAUGAAUUCAAGCUGGCAGAGAUCAAAAUUAUUGGCAACUAAUAAUCCUGGGAAAUGUUGCAUUAAGUUUGUUGGAUGGAAGCAUCAUGAAGAUAGUCACUGAUCGUGUUUAUUAGGCACACUGGUACAUGAACAAGACUGAUUCACUGAGGAUAAAGAAUUGAGUCACCCUCUGCAUCACUGAUUAGCAGCUUCUGAGGUAAAAAAAUUACAGAUGUUCUGCCAUCAGGCUUGACAGUGAAGUGCUCACAGCCCUGUUACUGAAGAUGAAGUAUGACACACCCAAUGCAAACGGGAGAGAAAGGUGAUGGAAUCAGUCCUGCCCUGGCAGACAGAGUGUCUUCAGGAGACCUGAUACAUUUUUGAAGUCAGGUAUUUGGACAAUGAAACAUCUAAAUAUCCUCCAACUUCAGUGUUACAUAAUUCUGCUUCAGUAAUUCUUAGCAAUGUGUGAUGAGCCACUUAAUGUUAUAAAAGGUUCCAAAAAAUGCACAAUGCCACAUUUCAAAUGA